rnacentral:tRNA from 1 species
UCUAAUAUGGCAGAAAAGUGUAAUGAAUUUAAGUUUCAUAGAUAAAAUUUAAUAAUUUUUAUUAGAA